AAGCGGUGGAUUGUAGCUCCAUGAACAGAGGUUUGAGCCCUCUUCAUAC
rnacentral:tRNA from 1 species